rnacentral:lncRNA from 1 species
GGGAAGUAUUUUCCCUCCUAGGAAUAUGAUUCCUGGAAAUCAGAUUCCUAGGAAGAGGAUACCUAGGAAAGUACUUUUGACAUGUUUGGUUAACCAUGGGAAAGUGACUAAUUUCCAAAGUGCUUAUGUUUGGUUGACCAUCCACUUUCCUAGGAAAGUUAUGUAUAAUUCCUAUUAUGCCAUUAAUAAAAAUUAGGUCUUUAAUGCCUCUUUAAUGCUUCUUUAAUGCUGAAGGGUCUUUUUGGAAAAAAAUAAAAAAGGAGUGAUUCCCACCUCAUGGGAAAGUAACUUUCCCAUGUUUCUCAUGGGAAAGACUUUUCCAUGAAAUGUGGGAAUCAUAUUCCCAUGGGAAUACCACUUUCCCAUCUCUCUCCUUUGAAAACUCCAACCAAACAAGAGGCAUUUCAUUACUUUCCCGUUGACCACACUUUCCCCCCUCGUUUUCCUGCGAACCAAACGAGCCC